ensembl:lncRNA
GUGACUCAUCACUUCCCUGCCUGCAAUUGAGGGUGCUAUGCCGGUCUCUAUAACAAAAUUCCCUCUUGGCUUCUCCCUGACUUUUCCUGGUUGCUCCGUGCAGGCAGCAUGCGGCGUGGGGGCAGCGGGAGGAAGCCAUGACGCUGCUGAGCACAGACGGGGAGGAAUGGCAUUUACCCACGUCUUAUUUGCGCACUGUGGAGGCUCCAUUAAAAAAGGCANNNNNNNNNNNNNNNNNNNNNNNNNNNNNNNNNNNNNNNNNNNNNNNNNNNNNNNNNNNNNNNAAGAGGCUGAAAAAUGCUUUCUCAAGAGCUGGCACCUCAAGGCAGGCACCUCUGUUAUUUUACCAUUGCGCAUGUCUCUCCCAUUGUUGUUUCUCUCUGUUAUUUUAUGUGAGCACAGUGGUGUGGCCACUUAGGGCAGCAUAUCGAUGCCUCCGCAGAUGUAGCAUUCACAUCCGUAUUGUUUCCUAUCGGGACCUCCCGUUGCAACAUGGGCUAGCGCAGACAAAACUUUAUGGGCCAAGUUUGGUUUUGGUACUGGUACUAUGAAGUUUUUUAGUGAUAGUGACUAGAUUGGAGGCCUUAUUUAUACUUGCUCCUUAUUUUGCAGAGCCCCUCUGCCAUACAUUGAAUCUUCCUCCAAGCCCGCCUUUGGCACAACACGGAGAUUAGCAACCUAAGGGAAGAUCUUGAUGAAAGAUGAAUUUUAGAGAUGGACAGAUAGACCAAAAAAUUAGUGAAAUUAGGCUUAAAUUUAGCCAAAACACAAAACUCGCAUUGUUUUAACUAAUCAAUAAGCCAUUAUACUACAUUUUCAUCAGUCCACAAUAUUUUCUUCCACUUUGAAUGAAACAUUCAGUUUUGGUUUCUGGUUCAUUUAAUACUCUAUUUUAAUACUCCUAUAACGCUUUUUGAAUUUUUUUGCUUUAAAUAAUAGCAGAUUAAUUUUUAAUUGGAAAAUAGCUGAAAGAAAAAAGUGUUGUUGUUUUCAGGACAUAACGAGAAAGUUUGCCUUUUCAGAAGUAAAGCGUUUCAAUCUGACGUUAAAAAAAAAAAAAUCCUUCCUGAAUCUUUUUUCCAGGAAAAACUGUUUGGCAAACAUGUUGAGUUCCAGAAGGAUUUAAUCUUUCCCAAACUCCUUUUUUUUUUCAUGAAAUUAACUAAUUAUUUCAUUUGUAGUGUUAUUCAGCUCCACCGUGGCAGGAUGAAAGCAAGGGAGCUGUAAUUUUCUGCGUGAGUGUCAUUGUAACAAUAGAGAUCUAAGGCUGUAAGAGGCAAGUUUUGUAGGGAAUAGAUUUCAUUACAUUGAUUUAUUGACACUAUAUGGUUGGGACAAAAAAGGACAAGAUUUUAAGUCAAUGUCACCAGGUCCUGGAUUUUAUUUGAUUUGUCUGAGUGUUCACUGUUUCCUUCCACACUUUUUUCUUUCAGAUAUUCUCAUGCAGAAUGACACUAGGAUAGCAAGAGACUGGGGCCUGGCAUGACAAAUUUUAGUGUGAACUAGAAACACACAGCUUGAGUGGAAAGCAGCAAAAACUAAGUGACACUGAUUUGGUCUUUGAUGGACACAUCCCUCAAAACCUCUGGAGCUACUAUUUCUUUUCUCUGUUUGCCUAAUCCUGUAUUGCAUCCAUGUCCAUGCCGUACCCUUCUACAUACAUGUGCUAUGGCAGUUCAUUAAAGCCUACACACAGGAGAUCAGAUUUCAUUCAUAUUAGCUUCCAUUGGUGCUGAGAUUGUGAAAGAGAUAAUAGUUUGUAUCGCCCAAACGUGUUGUUGUCCCUCACUUCCCUGGAAACAAAGUUGAAAAAAAGACGUUUCUGUGAUGUUUAGUUCACAAGAUCUCUGAGCAAGCAGUGAAAAUGAACAGAUGCUCUUCAUAUAGAUAGCAUAGCACAUCAUCUGAUCUGGAAUGUUAUUUCUCUCAUUUUGUGAUGAUUAUUAAAACAGUAAUGAAAGCACACUUUGGUAAAUGAAAUAUCACACCUCACUGUUUCCAUGCUAUAGAACUGAAUAGGGCAGAAACAUGGAUACUUGCAGCUCUUCACAGACUGAUCUUCUCAAGGGCGCUGAGAAAAUCUUUUAAGCACAACAGAUAACAGGAUAUUUUCAGCCCCAGAAGUCUGUAUUCCACCUUGAUAGGACCUGCUAGGUAGCUUGAGCAGUUUUAUGAUGUGAAUAAGGCAAUCUAACAGCUAGCUGCUACCAGAAAGACCCCACUGCCAGCCCAUACCAGCCCCAUGCCAACCACAUAUUCCCACCAUCUUUCCUCCUGUGCCAGCAUCAACCCUUGGCCAAGCCUAUGAUGAGUUGGUUCGGAGAGAAAUACUAGCAAAAAAAUAAUCUUACCAGGAAAAAAAAAAGCAGCCUUCUACUGGUUUAGCUCCCUGAAUCUGCUUAUCAUGGGACCCUGGCCAGAUACCAAAGCCAGUAGGGUAAAAAGACCAGGAGCAGGACCACCCCCGUGAGCAGCACAUUGAUGGGAAGCCGGCUCGACCACACCAGAGUGCCAUGCUCCUAGGGAGCAGUCAACCUGUGGAGUGAGAGGCUGGUUUUACACUUUGGAGUAGUCCCCACCAUUUUCUGUUUGAUUUCUGCUGUCAUUUGAAUUGUUGCAUAUGCUUGCUCCUGUGACAUCCUUUUGUCUCUACAAUGUUUUACGGAACUUAAAUGCAUCCUCAAAAACACUAAAAAUGUGUGUGUUACCCAUGCAAAGAUGGAAUUAACCAGUUUCAGAUUGUCAACUUUUGGCGGGGGUGGGGAGGGGGAGUGAGGCGCUGAAGAUUGCCCUUUCAAUUUUAGAAAGUUACAAAUAAAAGCAUUUAACAGCCUUCCA